UACAGAGGUCUCGAGCGUUAGGCGGAAUCACUGGGCUUAAAGCGUGUGUAGGCGGAUCGUUAAGUGCCUUGUGAAAUCCCACGGCUUAACCGUGGAACUGCUUGGCAUACUGGCGGUCUUGAGCACCUAGGGCGAGCGGAACAAAUGUGGAGCGUGAAUGCGUAGAUAUCAUUGGAACGCCAUGGUGAAAACAGCUCGCU
rnacentral:rRNA from 1 species